AUGGGAUGGAGCUAUGUCAUUCUCUUCCUUGUGUCAGUAAUUAUAGGUGUCCACUCCCAGGUACAGCUGCAUCAGUCAGGGCCUGAACUGGGGAAACCUGGGACCUCAGUGAAGUUGCCCUGCAAGACUUCAGGUUACACCUUCACUGGCUAUUUUAUUAUGUGGGUGAAGCAGAGACCUGGACAGGGCUUGGAGUGGAUUGGAGAAAUUAAUCCUAAUACUGGUGGUACUAGCUAUGCACAGAAAUUCCAGGGCAAGGCCAAACUGACUGCAGACAAAUCCUCCAGGACAGCCUACAUGGAGCUCAGCAGCCUGACAUCUGAAGACUCUGCAGUCUAUUACUGUGCUAGACACAGUGUUGCAACCACAUCCUGA